CCCGCCAACAUCAAAGGAGGUAAAGGAUGGUUUGGUAUCUCUGUGUGCCUGUGCCUUCCAAUGUAUAAAACAGCCCGGCUUUCAGCCCCAAGACACAGGCGGGGAGCUGCCGAGGAAAUUUAAUUUCACGACUACCACAUUGCUACCUGGCAGAGGUCAGCCUAACUCCCUGCACCAGCAGCAGCAGCAGCAGCUGGCAGCGUGACCAGCACUGAAUAUCAGCACAGAGUCUCUAAACCACCGCACAAACACAAGACACUUCACCUCGCAGCCAUGGAGCAUGACAUCAAUCCUUUGAUGGGUUUCAACUCUGGCUUCUUUAAGUUGGAUGUCAACCCGUUAUUUGGAUAUCGGGAAAUAAUGCACCUCGCCCAUUGAAAGAAGAGGACAUGAGACCUUCAUCCUCUCACAGUCAUCAGUCGUGCUCACCCUGAACAUCCAGGAUAGCUGUAGAUUUUCUGGAAUCAUUCAAAGGGUGUAUGUGGUCGUCUGUCACUUUAUAUAUAAAUGAAUAGAUAAAUAGCAGUAGCCGAGGCUAUGCCACUCAUGCUAACAUCUCCAACUUUAAUAGUAACUCCCAACAUAUUAUUACUCCCACCAGACAAAAACAUAGACACCAAUGU